CUUGCGGAUGGGCCCGCGGCGCAUUAGCUAGUUGGUGAGGUAACGGCUCACCAAGGCGACGAUGCGUAGCCGGCCUGAGAGGGUGACCGGCCACACUGGGACUGAGACACGGCCCAGACUCCUACGGGAGGCAGCAGUAGGGAAUCUUCCGCAAUGGGCGAAAGCCUGACGAGCGACCGCCGCGUGAGCGAAGAAGGCCUUCGGGUCGUAAAGCUCUGUUGUGAGGGACGAAGGAGCGCCGUUCGAAGAGGGCGGCGCGGUGACGGUACCUCACGAGGAAGCCCCGGCUAACUACGUGCCCGCAGCCGCGGUAAUACGUAGGUGGCAAGCGUUAUCCGGAAUUAUUGGGCGUAAAGCGCGCGUAGGCGGUUUUUUAAGUCUGAUGUGAAAGCCCACGGCUCAACCGUGGAGGGUCAUUGGAAACUGGAAAACUUGAGUGCAGAAGAGGAAAGUGGAAUUCCAUGUGUAGCGGUGAAAUGCGCAGAGAUAUGGAGGAACACCAGUGGCGAAGGCGACUUUCUGGUCUGUAACUGACGCUGAUGUGCGAAAGCGUGGGGAUCAAACAGGAUUAGAUACCCGGGUAGUCCUCGCCGUAAACGAUGAGUGCUAAGUGUUAGGGGGUUUCCGCCCCUUAGUGCUGCAGCUAACGCAUUAAGCACUCCGCCUGGGGAGUACGACCGCAAGGUUGAAACUCAA
rnacentral:ncRNA from 1 species